rnacentral:rRNA from 1 species
AUUGAACGCUGGCGGCAUGCCUUACACAUGCAAGUCGAACGGUAACAGGUCUUCGGACGCUGACGAGUGGCGAACGGGUGAGUAAUACAUCGGAACGUGCCCAGUCGUGGGGGAUAACUACUCGAAAGAGUAGCUAAUACCGCAUACGAUCUGAGGAUGAAAGCGGGGGACCUUCGGGCCUCGCGCGAUUGGAGCGGCCGAUGGCAGAUUAGGUAGUUGGUGGGAUAAAAGCUUACCAAGCCGACGAUCUGUAGCUGGUCUGAGAGGACGACCAGCCACACUGGGACUGAGACACGGCCCAGACUCCUACGGGAGGCAGCAGUGGGGAAGUUUGGACAAUGGGCGAAAGCCUGAUCCAGCAAUGCCGCGUGCAGGAUGAAGGCCUUCGGGUUGUAACUGCUUUUGUACGGAACGAAAAAGCUCCUUCUAAUACAGGGGGCCCAUGACGGUACCGUAAGAAUAAGCACCGGCUAACUACGUGCCAGCCGCCGCAGUAAUAC